GUGGAUUUGUGUCGUUCUGCUGACAGCAAGAGAGACUCUUAACCCGCAUUCCCCGAUUUAGGGAGGUGCAGCUGUAGCUGGAGGCGUCAGGGACGUCUCCUGGCCCGGCCCAGGUGUGUCUCGGCAGCGGCCGAUUGCAGAGCUGGUGGAGGUGGUCCCGUGGCAGAGCAGCUGAGGCAGUUUAUUGGUACCACCUGAGAAGGACGCGCCCCGACCCUGCCUGAGUUUGCAAAGCCAAAAAUGACCCUGCAGGAGGGUCCCAUCGCUGGCUCCCGCUGCAGUCAUGUGCUGCUUUUCUCUUUCCGUUGCUAUCUUCAGAGUUUUGCUUCUGUCCCCCUUGCAUCAGGGCUGAAAGUCUUUGUGGGUUACAGCAUGAGCCGCCCUGUGGGAGCGUCAGGAAUCCCGCUUGGGGCGAUGAGUCGAGAGCAGCUCCCCGGCACUGGGGUUAUGCAACUUCUUGUUGGUGAGGGGGAGGAUGGGCGUGAAGGCAAAAUUGAUGUUUGUGAAGCAUGUUGGAGAUAAGUAGAGCACCUAGAAAGUUGUCUUAGAGUUACUUGACAGAUACUGAGGUGCUUAUUAACGCUACUGCUGCAUGUUAAGAUCAGUUAGAAGAAAAAAUAAUGAUUUAAUAAACGAAAAAAUGGAGGUGUUUGCCAGCACGUAACACUCAGGUAGCGAUGAAUCAGGCAGCGAGGUGAUCAUAUUGCACUUUGCUAGGCCUUACUUCCUCUGCCUGCAUGAGUUUAACUUCUUUUGAGGUCCAUUAGCCUGAAGUACAGUGAAGGGUCUGCUUUCUUAUGGUUUUGAACUUGGAACUGAAGCACAAUUCAGGUUGGAAGAGACCUC